GGCAGGACGUUCAGCGAAGAUCCGGGCGGUCCUCACCGGCACUGCAAGGUGCACGGAGAAUAUACGGUCGCCAGACCGUCCGGGGAGCUAGUGGCGAGACCGGAAAGUCCAUGA
rnacentral:ncRNA from 1 species